rnacentral:rRNA from 1 species
AAUCUUCCACAAUGGGUGCAAACCUGAUGGAGCAAUGCCGCGUGAAUGAAGAAGGUCUUCGGAUCGUAAAGUUCUGUUAUUAGAGAAGUACAAGUCAAGGUGUAACUUUCUUGACUUUGACGGUACCUAACCAGAAAGUCACGGCUAACUACGUGCCAGCGGCCGCGGUAAUACGUAGGUGACAAGCGUGGUCUGGAAUUAUUGGGCGUAAAGGAAGCGGAGGAGGUUGGAAUAGUCUGAUGUGAAAGCCCACGGCUUAACCGUGGAAGGUCAGUGGAAAAUGUCCAACUUGAAUGCAGAAGAGGUAAGUGGAAUUCCAUGUGUAGCGGUGAAAUGCGUAGAUAUAUGGAGGAACACCAGUGGCGAAGGCGACUUACUGGUCUGUGAUUGACGCUGAGGCUCGAAAGCGUGGGUAGCGAACA